rnacentral:lncRNA from 1 species
ACGGGAUUAUUAUGGAGAUGAUGAUUGAUCCAGAUAGACCAGUGCAUGAAUUGCUUCCUUCAGACUGAUGAGUCUCGAAUUUGUGAUGUAGUGAUACUGGAGUGAGAGUGCAGGUGGUUGUCAGAGAAUAACUAGCACUGAGCGUGACCAACACGAGAAGUCACAUGGAUGUCUGCUCACUCGUUAGUGACUUCCUCGAUACUGCAGUGAUGUGACUGGUCCUUUGAUCUACAGUGCUACAACUACUCGCAGUGUGGCUGUUGGAGUUUGACUACA